UUGUUUGUGUAUUAGUGACCUAGGUUUGCU
rnacentral:piRNA from 1 species